UGAUGAUGGUGGGGGCAAUUGAUGAGCAGAAAUUUAAACCUAUCGCAAGCUUGAUAUAAAUUCUCUCCAGUUUUUUAUUUAAAGCUAAGAAUUUCACUUCUCAACUU